GAGUNCAGAAGGGGAGAGUGGAAUUCCAUGUGUAGCGGUGAAAUGCGUAGAUAUANGGAGGAACACCGGUGGCGAAAGCGGCUCUCUGGUCUGUCACUGACGCUGAGGCUCGAAAGCGUGGGUAGCGAACAGGAUUAGAUACCCUGGUAGUCCACGCCGUAAACGAUGAGUGCUAGGUGUUAGGUCCNUUCCGGGACUUAGUGCCGCAGCUAACGCAAUAAGCACUCCGCCUGGGGAGUACGACCGCAAGGUUGAAACUCAAAGGAAUUGACGGGGGCCCGCACAAGCGGUGGAGCAUGUGGUUUAAUUCGAAGCAACGCGAAGAACCUUACCAGGUCUUGACAUCCCGAUGCCCGCUCUAGAGAUAGAGUUUUUCUUCGGAACAUCGGAGACAGGUGGUGCAUGGUUGUCGUCAGCUCGUGUCGUGAGAUGUUGGGUUAAGUCCCGCAACGAGCGCAACCCUUAUUGUUAGUUGCCAUCAUUGAGUUGGGCACUCUAGCGAGACUGCCGGUAAUAAACCGGAGGAAGGUGGGGAUGACGUCAAAUCAUCAUGCCCCUUAUGACCUGGGCUACACACGUGCUACAAUGGUUGGUACAACGAGUCGCAAGCCGGUGACGGCAAGCUAAUCUCUGAAAGCCAAUCUCAGUUCAGAUUGUAGGCUGCAACUCGCCUACACGAAGUCGGAAUCGCUAGUAAUCGCGGAUCAGCACGCCGCGGUGAAUACGUUCCCGGGCCUUGUACACACCGCCCGUCACACCACGAGAGUUUGUAACACCCAAAGUCGGUGAGGUAACCAUAUAGGAGCCA
rnacentral:rRNA from 1 species